rfam:Ricinus communis cultivar Hale ctg_1100012357819, whole genome shotgun sequence.
AAUCCAUGGUGCAGGAAACAUCAAAACAAGUCUUUGUACCUCUUACAGGCAUCAUACAUGCUCUCGUCAUCGAACUGCACAAAAGAAGAUAUGUCAUUUCUCAAUCU